GGGGAUAUAGCUCAGUGGCACAGCACCUGCCUAGCAAGUGCGAGAUCCUGAGUCUGAUUCUCAGUACCACCC
rnacentral:tRNA from 1 species